AGUGUCUAAUCUCAAACUUUUGAUGGAUUGGUAAUUUGCAUAUUCCUAUACUCUAAUUGUAACAUAAAUGGCGCAAAUAUAGUAUCCAUGUUCACUGAAGUCAGUUUUUUUUGCAUCUACAGUUAACACAGUUGUAGCAUAUACCUUUGCAAUGCCCUUUUCAAAAUUGGCUUCUCUUUCACUUUAGCACUUAUUCUGAUAUAGCAGAAAAAAUGUGUAAUAUUAUAUGAAAAAGAAGAAUUUAGGAUCUCACAAUCUCUCAAAUCAAGGUAUCUAAACUCCCCCUUGUACUUGCUAGAAACAGUUUUUAUUUAUUGAAUAUAAUAUACGAAUGGUGUUUCUGUUGAAGUGGAUGAAGAUGCAGAGUCUCUGAGAUAUUGAAAUUGCAGAGGAACAACAGAGAUGAAUGUAGCUUGAGUCAUUAUAUAUAUAGAAACUUCUGUAAAUAAACCAUUUUAUUAGUUUACUAUUUUUCUUUAUUUUUGUUGCU
rnacentral:lncRNA from 1 species